rnacentral:rRNA from 1 species
AUUGAACGCUGGCGGCAGGCUUAACACAUGCAAGUCGAGCGGGGUGAUGGUGCUUGCACUAUCACUUAGCGGCGGACGGGUGAGUAAUGCUUAGGAAUCUGCCUAUUAGUGGGGGACAACAUCUCGAAAGGGAUGCUAAUACCGCAUACGUCCUACGGGAGAAAGCAGGGGAUCACUUGUGACCUUGCGCUAAUAGAUGAGCCUAAGUCGGAUUAGCUAGUUGGUGGGGUAAAGGCCUACCAAGGCGACGAUCUGUAGCGGGUCUGAGAGGAUGAUCCGCAACACUGGGACUGAGGCACGGGCCAGACUCCUACGGGAGGCAGCAGUGGGGAAUAUUGGACAAUGGGGGGAACCCUGAUCCAGCCAUGCCGCGUGUGUGAAGAAGGCCUUAUGGUUGUAAAGCACUUUAAGCGAGGAGGAGGCUCUUUUGGUUAAUACCCAAGAUGAGUGGACGUUACUCGCAGAAUAAGCACCGGCUAACUCUGUGCCAGCCGCCGCAGUAA